rnacentral:rRNA from 1 species
CGUAGGGUGCAAGCGUUGCCCGGAUUUAUUGGGCGUAAAGGGCGCGUAGGCGGCUCGGAACGUCCGUUGUGAAAUCGCCCGGCUCAACUGGGCGGGGUCAGCGGAUACGGUCGAGCUUGAGCAAGCUAGGGGGCAAUGGAAUUCCCGGUGUAGUAGUGGAAUGCGUAGAUAUCGGGAGGAACACCAGUGGCGAAGGCGGUUGCCUGGGGCUUUGCUAACGCUGAUGCGCGAAAGCGUGGGGAGCGAUCCGGAUUAGAUACCCGGGUAGUCCACGCCGUAAACGAUGCGGACUAGGUGUCGGGGGUAUCGACCCCCUCGGCGCCGCAGCUAACGCAUUAAGUCCGCCGCCUGGGGACUACGGCCGCAAGGCUA